CACGUAGGGCGCAAGCGUUUGUCCGGAAUUAUUGGGCGUAAAGAGCUCGUAGGCGGUCUGUUGCGUCCGCUGUGAAAACCCAGGGCUUAACCCUGGGCCUGCUUCCGAUACGGGCAGACUAGAGGUAUGCAGGGGAGAACGGAAUUCCUGGUGUAGCGGUGAAAUGCGCAGAUAUCAGGAGGAACACCGGUGGCGAAGGCGGUUCUCUGGGCAUUACCUGACGCUGAGGAGCGAAAGUGUGGGGAGCGAACAGG
rnacentral:rRNA from 1 species